GAUCAUGGCUCAGGAUGAACGCUAGCGGCAGGCCUAACACAUGCAAGUCGAGGGGCAACAGGAGUAGCAAUACUUGCUGGCGACCGGCGCACAGGUGAGUAACGCGUAUGCAACCUACCCAUAACAGGGGGAUAGCUUCCGGAAACGGGAAUUAAUACCCUAUAGCACCUAAGUACCGCAUGGUAUUAUGGUUAAAGCUCCGGCGGUCAAGGAUGGGCAUGCGGUUGAUUAGCUAGUUGGUGAGGUAACGGCUCACCAAGGCGACGAUCAAUAGGGGGUCUGAGAGGAUGUCCCCCCACACUGGAACUGAGACACGGUCCAGACUCCUACGGGAGGCAGCAGUGGGGAAUUUUGGACAAUGGACGCAAGUCUGAUCCAGCCAUUCCGCGUGCAGGAUGAAGGCCCUCGGGUUGUAAACUGCUUUUGUACGGAACGAAAAGGUUUCUAUUAAUACUAGGAGCUCAUGACGGUACCGUAAGAAUAAGCACCGGCUAACUACGUG
rnacentral:rRNA from 1 species